rnacentral:rRNA from 1 species
AGCUCUGCGCAGGCCUAACACAUGCAAGUCGAGCGGUAACAGAGAGUAGCUUGCUACUCUGCUGACGAGCGGCGGACGGGUGAGUAAUGCUUGGGAAUAUGCCUUAUGGUGGGGGACAACAGUUGGAAACGACUGCUAAUACCGCAUGAUGUCUACGGACCAAAGUGGGGGACCUUCGGGCCUCACGCCAUAAGAUUAGCCCAAGUGGGAUUAGCUAGUUGGUGAGGUAAUGGCUCACCAAGGCGACGAUCCCUAGCUGGUUUGAGAGGAUGAUCAGCCACACUGGGACUGAGACACGGCCCAGACUCCUACGGGAGGCAGCAGUGGGGAAUAUCGCACAAUGGGCGCAAGCCUGAUGCAGCCAUGCCGCGUGUGUGAAGAAGGCCUUCGGGUUGUAAAGCACUUUCAGUAAGGAGGAAAGGUUAAGUGUUAAUAGCACUUAGCUGUGACGUUACUUACAGAAGAAGCACCGGCUAACUCCGUGCCAGCAGCCGCGGUAAUACGGAGGGUGCGAGCGUUAAUCGGAAUUACUGGGCGUAAAGCGUACGCAGGCGGUUUGUUAAGCGAGAUGUGAAAGCCCCGGGCUCAGCCUGGGAACUGCAUUUCGAACUGGCAAACUAGAGUGUGAUAGAGGGUGGUAGAAUUUCACGUGUAGCGGUGAUAUGCGUAGAGAUCUGAAAGAAUACCGAUGGCGAAGGCAGACAUCUGUGUCAACACUGACAGCCCAUGUACGAUAGCGUGAGCAGCAAACACGAAUAGAUACUACAGCUAGUCCAGCACUAUUAUAUGAUGUCGACUACAGCUCGGAUCUUUGUACGUGUUUUUAAAAGCUAAGGCAUUACGUAGAUCGUCUGUGAUGUACGUCGACAAGAUCAGAGCUAAUUGACUGACUGAAUGCCAGGUCUGCCAAUCUCGAUCG